GACGGAAGGUGCAAGCGUUGCUCGGAAUCACUGGGCGUAAAGGGUGCGUAGGCGGCCGUGCAAGUCUGGCGUGAAAGCCCCGGGCUCAGCCCGGGAAGUGCGCUCGAAACUGCGCGGCUCGAGUGCCGGAGGGGAGAGUGGAAUUCCCGGUGUAGCGGUGAAAUGCGCAGAUAUCGGGAGGAACACCGGUGGCGAAGGCGGUUCUCUGGGCCUUACCUGACGCUGAGGAGCGAAAGCGUGGGGAGCGAACAGG
rnacentral:rRNA from 1 species